UACGGGGGGGGCAAGCGUUGUUCGGAAUUACUGGGCGUAAAGGGCUCGUAGGUGGCCAACUAAGUCAGACGUGAAAUCCCUCGGCUUAACUGGGGAACUGCGUCUGAUACUGGAUGGCUUGAGUUUGGGAGAGGGACGCGGAAUUCCAGGUGUAGCGGUGAAAUGCGUAGAUAUCAGGAGGAACACCAGUGGCGAAGGCGGUGCUCUGGGCCGGAACUGACGCUGAGGAGCGAAAGCGUGGGGAGCAAACAGG
rnacentral:rRNA from 1 species